ACGCACGCUGGCGGCGUGCUUAACACAUGCAAGUCGAACGGAAAGGCCCUGCUUUUGUGGGGUGCUCGAGUGGCGAACGGGUGAGUAACACGUGAGUAACCUGCCCUUGACUUUGGGAUAACUUCAGGAAACUGGGGCUAAUACCGGAUAGGAGCUCCUGCUGCAUGGUGGGGGUUGGAAAGUUUCGGCGGUUGGGGAUGGACUCGCGGCUUAUCAGCUUGUGGUGGGGUAGUGGCUUACCAAGGCUUUGACGGGUAGCCGGCCUGAGAGGGUGACCGGCCACAUUGGGACUGAGAUACGGCCCAGACUCCUACGGGAGGCAGCAGUGGGGAAUAUUGCACAAUGGGCGGAAGCCUGAUGCAGCAACGCCGCGUGCGGGAUGACGGCCUUCGGGUUGUAAACCGCUUUCGCCUGUGACGAAGCGUGAGUGACGGUAAUGGGUAAAGAAGCACCGGCUAACUACGUG
rnacentral:rRNA from 1 species